rnacentral:rRNA from 1 species
AUGGUAGACAGAACCUACUACACCGAUGGCUUAGAAUUAACUUAUCAGGAGAAAAAUUAUCUGAUUGCAUUUAUUACUGAUCUUGAGAAUUACAAUAUGUAUUAUAAAACUCCUCCACAUUAUGGUCAAUACGUGCCACUAGUGCAUGUCUUGAACUAUGCUAACAUCCAUGGAGAUGUCAUGAUAAUUCCGCAGGAGUGUGUGCCUCAUCUGAUGUUUCAGAAAGGUCACCUUGAUGUUUUGAAUAUACGACCAGGUCAUCCUACGAAUCACUCCUGUUCAUAUCGGAUUUCUAAAACCAAUGAAGACAUGACAAUCAAAGAUUGGAAAAAAUGUAUGGUCACUCGUAGGAAGUUACUUGGAAGCAACAUUAUGCGAAAGGCAAGAAUUGGAGACAGGAUAAUCUCCAUUCUCCAUAAUGGAGAGUCAGGGCCUAUCUUGUUUUAUGCUAUUUUACCUAAGAGAAGGUAG